AAAGGGGAGCAGCCUAAACCGUGAAAACGGGGUUGUGGGAGAGCAAUACAAGCGUUGUGCUGCUAGGCGAAGCGGUUGAGUGCCGCACCCUAGAUGGCUAAAGUCCAGUAGCCGAAAGCAUCACUAGCUUAUGCUCUGACCCGAGUAGCAUGUGGCACGUGGAAUCCCGUGUGAAUCAGCAAGGACCACCUUGCAAAGAAUUACCCUGGGUGACCG
rnacentral:ncRNA from 1 species